rnacentral:rRNA from 1 species
GACGAACGCUGGCGGCGUGCCUAAUACAUGCAAGUAGAACGCAGUUGCGAACGGGUGAGUAACGCGUAGGUAACUGCCUCAUAGGGGGGGAUAACUAUUGGAAACGAUAGCUAAUACCGCAUACUGUGAGACGGACCUGCGUUGUAUUAGCUAGUUGGUGAGGUAAAGGGUCACCAAGGCGACGAUACAUAGCCGGACUGGGAGGGUGAACCGCCAAAAUGGGAAUGAGACACGGGCCAGGACCCUACGGGGGGGCGCAAGAGGGAAACAUCGGCAAAUGGCGGAAGUCUGACCGAGCAACGCCGCGUGGGUGAAGAAAGUUUUCGGAUCGUAAAACUCUGUUGUUAGAGGAGCGGUAACUAACCAGAAAGGAACGGCUAACUACGUGCCAGCAGCCGCGGUAAUAC